rnacentral:rRNA from 1 species
ACGGGAGGCAGCAGUGGGGAAUAUUGGGCAAUGGGCGAAAGCCUGACCCAGCAACGCCGCGUGAGGGAAGAAGGUUUUCGGAUUGUAAACCUCUGUCAUCGGGGACGAUAAUGACUGUACCCGAGAAGGAAGCUCCGGCUAACUACGUGCCAGCAGCCGCGGUAAUACGUAGGGAGCGAGCGUUAUCCGGAAUUACUGGGUGUAAAGGGAGUGUAGGCGGGACUGUAAGUCAGAUGUGAAAUAUGCCGGCUCAACUGGCAGACUGCAUUUGAAACUGCGGUUCUUGAGUGAAGUAGAGGUAAGCGGAAUUCCUAGUGUAGCGGUGAAAUGCGUAGAUAUUAGGAGGAACAUCAGUGGCGAAGGCGGCUUACUGGGCUUUAACUGACGCUGAGGCUCGAAAGCGUGGGGAGCAAACAGGAUUAGAUACCCUGGUA